rnacentral:rRNA from 1 species
AGUGAACGCUGGCGGUAGGCCUAACACAUGCAAGUCGAACGGCAGCACAGUAAGAGCUUGCUCUUACGGGUGGCGAGUGGCGGACGGGUGAGGAAUACAUCGGAAUCUACUUUUUCGUGGGGGAUAACGUAGGGAAACUUACGCCAAUACCGCAUACGACCUACGGGUGAAAGCAGGGGAUCUUCGGACCUUGCGCGAUUGAAUGAGCCGAUGUCGGAUUAGCUAGUUGGCGGGGUAAAGGCCCACCAAGGCGACGAUACGUAGCUGGUCUGAGAGGAUGGUCAGCCACACUGGAACUUAGACACGGUCCAGAGUCCUACGAGAGGCAGCAGUGGGGAAUAUUGGACAAUGGGCGCAAGCCUGAUCCAGCCAUACCGCGUGGGUGAAGAAGGCCUUCGGGUUGUAAAGCCCUUUUGUUGGGAAAGAAAAGCAGCAGGUUAAUACCCCGCUGUUCUGACGGUACCCAAAGAAUAAGCACCGGCUAACUUCGUG